AACUUUGAAACAUUAUAAAUUAUAAGACUCAGUAUUAAUGAUAAUUAUGAGACUUUGAGACAACAGAGUUAAUGCAUUAUGAUUGUGAGAUUCUCCACUAAAACUGGAGAAUUCAAGAUGUGCAAGCUAGUCAUAAAAAUCAUGAAAGUCGUAACUUCUGUUAGAUGUGUCCAUCAUAUAAGUAACCAGAAAAAUGUAUGAUAGAGUAAAAGUUUUUUUUUAAAAAACUGAGCAUUUUAAAAAGUAGAAGGAUUUGUAGAAGCACGAAGAACAAAUGAUUAGUUCCACAGAGUGAGAUGAGCAAAGUAAUCAAUAUGUCUGAAUAAAUUGUUAGGAAUGAUGGAUGUAGCAUCUGGUUAGGAGUGACUUGUGCAAAGCUGACAGAUGUGAUAUGUGAAUGCUAGUAAGUUGAAUACAAGUUGGGCAUAGAGAGUUUGGCUUCUUACUACUAACUAAAAAGAGAUGUGUAUGUUUUGCCUCAAUAGGGAAAGAUACAGCCAGUUGUAAUUCCUCACAUCAUUAAAAAAAUAAGUAAAUGCCAAGUAAUAAACUGUAGCCUGAAUCUAACUACUGUUACAGGGUGUCUGAUUGCUUCCUGGUCGAGACCAAAAUCUUUCAUGAAAAAUAAUCAUAAGUAUAAUAUGUGUUCCUUGUAGAAAAUUAGAAAGUAAUGAAAUAUAUGUAGGAAGUGGAAUUUAGUUAUGUUUCCUAAAACCAGAGCUAAACCACUAUUAUCAUUUAAGUUAAUUCUAUUCUAAUUCUGCUAAUUUUGUAUUGUCUCAGUCUUCCUCUAGAUAUAGUCUAUAUCUGUGUAUAAUAUAUACUAAGUAUGUACAUAUGCUCACGGUGCAGCUUGUAUUUAUGUAAAAUGGAUAUUAUGACUACACUUAUUAUAUUUUAGUACUGCUUCUAAGAAAACUGUAUCUUUAAUGUUAAGUGAAAAUAUGCAUUUAAAAAAUGAAGACUUUUCUGGACAUUUUCAUAUUAAUAGAAAAUUUGAGCAGAAGAUUGCAAGAAAGCUAUGCUUUGGAUAGAUAAAUGUUAAAUGAAGACUGUUUAUGAGUCGAUUGUGUUUUAACUCCUUGUGGUGGUCUUACUAGAUUGUGACUAAAUUCAGAUUGCAACAGUUAUAUGAUCUCAUUGUGUUCGUUGAAGGACUUUGGGCUCCUCAGCUUGAAGGUAGCAUUAGAUGUCAGCCAAUUUCAUUGUCCUUUAAAGUUUUUUCUUCACAUCUGAAAUCUUGCCAAUUGUAAUAGCUUGUAUGUCAGCUCCAAUAGAGGAAACUGGACCCUAUGAGGUUCAACUUAGUCCACUAAAAACUUGACAUAGUUUUCAACUAGUACUCUCCAGUUCCUGCUGCUGUUUUGUAGAAUUAUAAAACAUUGUCCACUAGUGAGUGAAAUAUCACUUAUAAAGGUUAUUGCUUUUGUGUGCCCUUGCAGAACAUUUCUAAUGACAUGGUGAAGACAGGAAAACUGUCAGAAAGACUGUAACACUUUCAUACUAAAUUGAAGCUUAAAGAGAGAUCAAACAACUUGCCUGAGGUUGUGCAGCUUGAUACAGGAGCUGGAAUUUGAGUCAAGAUCUGAUUGCCUUCCUACUUCAGUUUACAAACCUUAGUCUCUAUGGAACUGGCAGCACUGUGAGCCCUGGUGCUUGAACUGUUUUCCUGUUUGAGAAAGUAUUUCUGUACGUAUAUAUCUGUAUAUUUGAUGGUAACUAAAAUAUUCAGUUCAUCCUUUUCUAUUGGAAAAAUGUGUGAAUAUAUCUAAAUUCAGCACACAAUAUAGGCUCAUUUAAAUAUUGGACUGUGCUCCUUGAGAGUAGUAUCUGGUUCUUCUUUGUUUUACUUGGAAUUGUGUUUGCAGAGGGUGUUGGUGUUCAGGUUUAAAAAAAAGGUGUAUGUAGCAGGAAGAUGAGUGGGGUUCAGAUGCAAAUCUGAGAAUAGGGCUUGAUUUUAAGAUUAUAGGAAGAAGUUUUGGUUUUAAGGCAGUGUAUCAAGACAAACCUUAACUUUACUUUUUCUUUCUGGCUACCAACAGGUGUUUCUGUUUUUAUAUCACUUUGACUUGCGUUGUUACUUUCUUGCUGCAGCAACCAAAAUAGAAGGCAGUUUUCUCCAGAGACGAUUAAUUCAAAAAGACAAUUAAUUCAGAUUGUUUGAGAGACAUAGAGAAUCUGAAGUAGCCCAUUCCUUUAAGCCAGAUGAGGAAGGACCUAAGGUUACUGAUGAGUAUAAGGUUGGUACCCAUACUCUGUUCAUCAUUAUAGUGUGGUAUAGAACUGGGCGGUCAUGCUGCACAGGCUAGGUUGAACCCUAGAGGGGGGAUUGUGACUGUCAGUUUCAGUAAAAUAUACUGAAUGGCUUCCUUCAAUCUGAGUGGUGCUGCAGGAGAGGCUGCUGCAUGAAUGCAGGAGAACACUUACCUUUGCUGCUUAGUAGCUGUGCUAGUUUGCUAGGGCUGCUGUAACACAGCACCACAGAUGGUAUGACUUCAGAAUAGAAAUUUAUUCUUUUAUGGUUCUGGGCUCUGGAAGUCUAAAAUCAAGGUGUUAGCAGGGUUCAUUCCUUCUGAGACUGAUUGUGUGUGGUUCUUAAACCUUCAUUAUUUAAAUGUCUCAGUCUUCUCCAGAAUUAGCAAAUGUAAUAAAGAUGAUUUCUCUCAGUUUUAACAUUAUAGUUAUGUACAGUAUUUUGGUGCCAGUAUGUUAAGUAUGAUUAAUAAAAUUGGAAAGUUUACAGAAUUUGUGUUGGUGGAUUGCAUUUUAAAAGUUGAUUCUUUCGGUCAGCAUAUGUAUUUUCAAGAGAAUUAUUUUUGAUAGAAUGGUGCCUCCUUCAUACUGGCAUCAUAACAAAGAAUCCUGCGUCCAAACACACUGAUUUAUGUUAAUUACAUAUGAAACUCUCUUUUUUAAUCUUUUUAUUAUAAUGAGUCUAAAGGGGUUAUAGAUUUAAAGUAAAAUUAAAGUUGAUUAAGUUAUCAAAUGGAAUUUUCAGUGUUAUUCUAAUCAUUCUGAUAAAAUAAAUGUGCUUUCCUCAUUUAAUGUUAAAUUUAAAAUGUAGUUGAAAUCUAUAGGAAUUAUAACAGUAUUUUGUUUUAAUUUUUCUCUUUGGCUUUGCUUGUUUUAAUUUUGAAGACUUCUGUUGAAAAUGUCAGUCCUAGUUUAAA